AAUUUGAGGUGUGGCUCUGUAGUAAGAUGGACUUGCGGUUCAAUCCCAGCUCAGGGCCUUUUUAAAUUA
ensembl:miRNA